AUUAUUACAUAGUAUUAAAUCAGAAAUUAAAAUAUAUAAAUAUAGCAUGAACUACAUGUUGAUCAUAUCAACAUGUUUCUAUACUACAUCUAAUGUAUGUAUUAAACAAUAGAUCAGAUCUAUUACCUUGCAAGUUAGACGUUCUAAUCUUGUUGAUCUGGGCUUGAGGAUGAUUUUACAAGCCGCACAUGCAUCUGACCUCUAGGAGUCAUCCACACGAGCUCACGAAUCUCGAUCAGAAGUCCGGCUUCAGAAAAUCAGCACAGUAUGCUAGUACUGCGCUGAUCCUUCUUUGAUGGUUGAUCAAGUGUCUCCUUCUUCUUGAUUUGGACUCUUCCAAAGAUGAAAAGUAGAAGGAGGAGUUUCAGAUCUGAGACACUCUCAGGAAACUCAAGAUGGAGGGAGGAAAGAUAUGAAAACAAAAACCCUAGAAGAAGACCCUCUUCUUCUUCACGUUUUUUUCUCUAGACACCCAAACUUGCAUCUUUUAUAUCUCCACGACCCAAAGGUAUUUCUUUCUAAUUUUUGGAUGGCACAAAGUCUCUCAAAUCUCUGACUUCUCCUAAAAUUUUAUGAAAAAACUCGUCUUAUAUAGAGAGAUAUGAUAGAGUCCUUGUCUAGGUCAAACACCUAGUCAAGGCUUAUCCAAACAUGGCAAGUUAAGGGACGCCCAACUCUUGAGCACCUCCUUCAUAUUUUCAUUCAUAGAUUAUCAGAAAAGGGUACACAAUAUAUACCCUAAAAGCCAUGAAAAUUUCAAAAAAAAUUUGGAUAAAUUCGGUGCAAAAUUGAAAGAGUUUUGGAUUUCUAAAUCUCUAUCUCAUAGAAUUCGAAAUCCAAACUUAUUCCUUUUAGAUUUGAUCCAAACCACCUUCCAUGUAAGAAAGAAGAGAGAAGACCUUUUGUGAACGUGGGAGAGAUCUGGGAGAGGGCUUUUGUUGCACAAAAUAAGUGGAGAUUGGCAUUGAAUAAGAGAGAGGGCGUGGAGAAGGAUUAUGUGGCGCAAGGUGGAAUCCUAGUCUUACUAGGAUUCUGUCUUAUGACUUGUUUUAAUUUGGUUUUUCAAACCAAAUCAAAUCAAAAUUAGAUCAACCCAAUUAAAAUAGGUCUUAACCCAAUUAAAAACCUAAUUUAAUCAGAUUAAAUU
rnacentral:lncRNA from 1 species